rnacentral:misc_RNA from 1 species
AAGUCGUAACAAGGUCUCCGUUGGUGAACCAGCGGAGGGAUCAUUACCGAGUGCAAACUCACCAACCAUUGUCUAUCUACCUAUCUCGCUUCUCCGGUCGGCGGUCCCAGGGCGGGACCGAGCCUAGGGCGUGCCCAAAGCACCGGCCGAAGGGGCACCCAACUGCUCUGUAUUGUACCGUCUGAGUAUCAAACAAAUAUCAAAAUUUUCAAUUGUGGAUCUCUUGGUUCUG